GGGGGGGGCGCGCGGGGCGCGGGAUGCGGUAGGGUUGGGGGGUUACCUUGCUUCCCAAAUAUAAAUCCUAAAACUAAUUAAGAACUUACAUAAAUCCUAAGGAAAUACGAAUAGAAAAGUCGAUAGCCAGCUAAAAUAAAAGCCAUAAACUAAGGGAAUCACAAGAUGCGUUUGUUGUUUUGAAAGAAAGAGACUUGAAAGUGACAAGCACACUGAAAGGCAAAGAGCGAGAAAAUGGCAGGAAAGACAACUCAAGAAGAUUAUAAAAAUUAUAGACAGUGUGCCGGCAACGGGAAGUCAUCAUCAUAGAAAAGGCCUUACAAUUUUAUUGGUAUAUAUUGCCAUAAAAGGUUAGAUGUCUGAGCUGUAUCAAAAGCUGCAAAUUUGAUUUUAAACACCCCAACAAAUUAUUAUAUGGAUAGAAAUGAAUUUCUGGUUGAAGUAAACCUCAAAAUCAUCGUCAUGAUUAUAUCAAACUGCCAAAAAAAAAAAAUAGAAAGAAAAACAACAGAUGGUAUUUCUUGUGUUUUUGUUGAUAAGGUUAAAAAGGAUUCCCUUUUCAUCGAUAAAUAAAAUAAUGAAAUAUGAAAAUCAGAGGUCAGUUGAGGAAGGGGAGGGUUAGUGAAAUUGGUCAAGGCAGAUAAGGAAAGAGAAAUUGGGAGGAAAGAAGGUUUUACCUCUGCUUUGAAAUAAUGGAAUUCGUAGAGAGGAAGAAAGUGGCAGUUAUGGAAGAAAGAAAGUAUUGUGAGUGGCUACGGUCCAGGCAAAGGCACACAGAUAUUGCCUUCUCUGUGGGUUUACGCACCAGUAAACGAGCAGAGCCACUCAUUCAACUCACUCUGGGAGUUAAUAUCCUUUUCAAUAAUAAUCAAAAUCUUUUCAAGAUAAAUAUACAUUCCAUUUCAAUUUU
rnacentral:misc_RNA from 1 species